GACGAACGCUGGCGGCGUGCCUAAUACAUGCAAGUCGAGCGGACCUCUUCGGAGGUCAGCGGCGGACGGGUGAGUAACACGUGGGCAACCUGCCUGUAAGGCUGGGAUAACACCGGGAAACCGGUGCUAAUACCGGAUAAUCCUUUUCCUCACAUGAGGGGAAGCUGAAAGACGGCAUCUCGCUGUCACUUACGGAUGGGCCCGCGGCGCAUUAGCUAGUUGGUGGGGUAACGGCCCACCAAGGCGACGAUGCGUAGCCGACCUGAGAGGGUGAUCGGCCACACUGGGACUGAGACACGGCCCAGACUCCUACGGGAGGCAGCAGUGGGGAAUCUUCCGCAAUGGACGAAAGUCUGACGGAGCAACGCCGCGUGAGCGAAGAAGGCCUUCGGGUCGUAAAGCUCUGUUGUCAGGGAAGAACACGUACCGGAGUAACUGCCGGUACCUUGACGGUACCUGACCAGAAAGCCACGGCUAACUACGUGCCAGCCGCCGCCGUAACAC
rnacentral:rRNA from 1 species